UAUAUCUUGAAUUAAUACCUUAACAUUAAACGGCUAUAUCUUCUUCACUCUAAUUCCAAAUCCUCUAAUUUUUAUAUACAAAUUGUAGUCCAAAUUCUAAACGUUAUAAUAUUGGCUUAUAAUUCCCAAAUGCCUUCUUUGAAGUCACCAAAACUCUUAUUAAGGUCACAUGCAACCUCUUCAAAGCCCAUUGGAUAUGAUAUU
rnacentral:lncRNA from 1 species